UUAAGAUAACCACGUACUCGUGAACAGUCGUUUUCCGGGAAAAUCCAGUGCUCCUGCCAGGGAUAACGGAUCAGCCAUCAAACUAUUCAAAGCAGGAAAAUCUGGUGCUGUGCCGCAACUGUGAUGGAAGCUUCCUCAGCCAGAACACCGGAGAGCCACUUUUUCACUCU
rnacentral:ncRNA from 2 species